rnacentral:ncRNA from 1 species
GAGAGCACAGUACGAUGAAAGUUGUAAGCUGUGUUCGGGGGGGAGUUAUUGUCUCAAAAAUUCUGUUAGGAUCGGCUGGCUCAUCCGAA